GAGCGAGACAGCAUGGCAGGGCAAGAGCAACAUGGUGUGAGCGGUGCAGCUAGUGUGCCAUGGCGUUGCCAGACUGUCGCUGGUGCAGUGCGUUGGGGUUUCGAACAGCGCCAAAAGUACUCUUGCUUCAAUCUCGGCUCGUUAGGGCGCAACAAAGCAAGCGCAUUUCAUCGCUCAUCAUCAUCAUCACCACCUUACCCCCACCCCGUUCAACAAAUCGCUUUUCUUGGAGCAUAAUGCACACAUACACUGGCACAGUCACACCGACACGUAUGUGCCGGUCAUCAUCAUCAUCAUUAGGUUGUGCGAUGGAGCAACAACAACAACAGCAACAACAAAAGCGAACGUCAUUAGCGGGCUAAAUAACAAAAAAUGAUAAUGUCGCUGCUGCCACAAAGUCGUCGUCAGUUGGGGUAAUCAUCAUUAAAUUGCACAUCGUCUCGUUGAAAAAGUUAUAGAGGGCGGGGCGGUGGUCGAUGGGGGCGGGGCAAGGCGGAAGAAGAAGAAAUUGGGAGAAGCGAAAUCCCAAUAACAAGGUCACCAAAUAUUUGAAAAUCUAUCUACAAACCUAGCCAACUAUAUAAAUAGUAAACUUUGAGAUAAUUAAUAAUAGACAUACAAACUAAUAUUGUUUAUUUGUAUUUUGAAAAAUAUAUUACGUAAAUUACUAGUUAUUGACACAUAUUU